rnacentral:rRNA from 1 species
AACGCGAAGAACCUUACCUGGGCUUGAACUACUCGUGGUAGUUCGCUGGAAACAGUGGACGACCCGCAAGGGAGCGAGCAGAGGUGCUGCAUGGUUGUCGUCAGCUCGUGUCGUGAGAUGUUGGGUUAAGUCCCGCAACGAGCGCAACCCCUAUCCAAUGUUGCUACUCCCGCAAGGGAGGCACUCUUUGGAAACUGCCUUCGAUAAGAAGGAGGAAGGUGGGGACGACGUCAAAUCCUCAUGGCCCUUAUGUCCAGGGCUACACACGUGUUACAAUGGCCGGUACAAUGGGAAGCAAUACCGCAAGGUGGAGCCAAACCCCUAAAGCCGGCCCCAGUUCAGAUUGUGGGCUGCAACCCGCCCACAUGAAGGCGGAAUCGCUAGUAAUCGCUGAUCAGCAGGCAGCGGUGAAUACGUUCCCGGGCCUUGUA